UGUUGUGCCUGGUGCCCUGGUUUGGUCUGUGUGUCCCCAGCAGGGUCAGCUCUGAACAAGUUGGGCAACUGUUGUGCCUGGGGAGUGUGCACAUGUGUUGGCAGUCUGUGUCUUGGCCAUUGAUGGGAAAAAUGUGGAAUCCAGCCAGGUUCUUCUGGGAGCUCAGAACAACACAACAACGGGAGACAGUGGGUGGCAGGGAGCCCUGGGAGGCCACCUCCUGUGCCAGGGCAGGGCCAGACAGCCAGUCUGGGUGUUCACAGUAGAGCCCUGCUCUAUACUGAAUGGGAGUGUAGAGGGCUGCUUGCUGGCUACACAUGGGCUUGCAUUCUUCAAGCCAUUCAUUCAGCAAGUACUUACUAAGCUGCUACUAUAUGCCAGGCACCCAUCUAGGCACUGGGGAUAUAGCAGGAAAGAAAUCCUCUUCAAGGAACUUCAAAUGUGACCAUUUGACAUGAAAUGUGUCAUGAUGGGAAUAGAGCACCGGCUUAGAAAGGGCUCUUGUGCCUGAGGGGCUGGUGAGGUGAAGAGAAACUUUCUGGGGGAGAGAAUUACGGGGCCAAGCCCUGGGCCUGAGAAGGGGUCUCUUGGUGAACAGAGGCAGGGAAUAAGAGGGGGAAGCAAGGUAAGACCAUCUGGGACAGUGUGGCAUGGGGAGGGAACAGGUGACCAGACAGGUGGCAGGACCUCAUCCCACUGGAUGCUCUGCUGGUGCCUUUGCCUGAAGUGCAGUUUGCCACGGAUCAGAUCCAAGCUACAGUUGCGAUCUGUGCUACAGUUGGGUCAAUGCCGAAUCCUUAACCCAGCUGGAGAAUUGAAACUGCGUCCCAGCACUCCAGAGAUGCCACCCAUCCGACUGCACCACAGUGGGUAUUCUGAGUUUUUUCUAAAUUUCCCUUAAAAACACGCUUGUUUAAAUUAAAGUGCUUAUUAUAAUUAUAUAUAAAAUAACAUAUCAUCAUAGUUGAAUAUUUGGAAGAUAUAAAGUGGCAUGAAGAAUUAAAAUUUAUUCAUAAUUCAUAAUUCCACCAUCCAGGAAAGCUUCCUUCCUUUGAGCUCUCCUUUUUACCAUUCUAUUAAAAAACCUACAUGGGGAGUUCCCGUCAUAGUGCAGUGGUUAACGAAUCCAACUAGGAACCAUGAGGUUGGGGGUUCGAUCCCUGGCCUCGCUCAGUGGGUUGGGGAUCCGGCAUUGCCAUGGGCUGUGGUGUAGGUCAUAGAUGCAGCUUGGAUCUGGCAUUGCUGUGGCUAUGGUGUAGGCCAGCAGCUAUAGCUCCGAUUAGACCCCUAGCCUGGGAACCUCCAUAUGCCACGGGUGUGGCCCUAAAAAGACAAAAAGACCAAAAAUAAAUAAAUAAAUAAAUAAAUAAAUAAAAUAA
rnacentral:lncRNA from 1 species